rnacentral:misc_RNA from 1 species
UCCUAGUUAACCUAGGCAGUCUCGUUAGAGUUCCCGCCAUUACGCGCUGGCAACUAACGAUAAGGGUUGCGCUCGUUGCUGGACUUAACCAAACACCUCACGGCACGAGCUGACGACAGCCAUGCAGCACCUAUAUAGAGACCCUUUCGGGAUAGACAAUCUCUUGCCUAGUCCUCUACAUUUCGAGCCCAGGUAAGGUUCUUCGCGUUGCAUCGAAUUAAACCACAUGCUCCACUGCUUGUGCGGGCCCCCGUCAAUUCUUUUGAGUUUCACCCUUGCGAGCGUACUCCCCAGGUGGCAUACUUAACGCGAGGAAGGUGGGGAUGACGUUGACGUC